AAUAAUGUGUUUCUGUUUUCUUUCUCAUUAUGCUAACAAACACUCUUUUACCCCUCAUGUUAGGUAGAUCAACACUCCAACCAUCUGCAUUAGGGACUGAAUAAAGGAUGCCCUCUGUAGCUGGGAAUGUUAGAUCAGGCGGAUCAACAUUCCAUCCAUCUGCAUUAGGAUCUACCUUAGAGACACUCACUGGAGCUGUAAAUGGGAAGCAGAAAUACUCUUUAACCUGCCCACUGGAGCUGGGAAUGCAAUUUGGGACAUUCUUCCAGUUGUCGGCAACUUUGUGAAAAAGGCUGGAAACUUAAAUGCAGAAUUCUGGCCUGGUGUUUGGUCUGUGCUGUCUUUGGCUCUUGCAUCUCCAUCAUCCUGACCCUCUUUAGCAGCCUGUCCAUGUAUUUAUUUGGAGGCCACCAUGAGCACCCAUCUGCAUAAUAUGACUUUGUUAC